UCUGGUGGUAAUAGCGAGAGGGAUACACCUGUUUCCAUACCGAACACUGAAGUUAAGCCUCUCAGCGCCGAUGGUACUUGGGUGGUAACGCCCUGGGAGAGUAGGACGCUGCCAGAU
rnacentral:rRNA from 1 species